UACGGGGGGGGCAAGCGUUGUUCGGAAUUACUGGGCGUAAAGGGCGCGUAGGCGGCCUGCUAAGUCGAACGUGAAAUCCCUGGGCUCAACCCAGGAACUGCGUCCGAUACUGGUUGGCUUGAAUCCGGGAGAGGGACGUGGAAUUCCAGGUGUAGCGGUGAAAUGCGCAGAUAUCAGGAGGAACACCGGUGGCGAAGGCGGGUCUCUGGGCAGUAACUGACGCUGAGGAGCGAAAGCGUGGGGAGCGAACAGG
rnacentral:rRNA from 1 species